rnacentral:rRNA from 1 species
GAUGAACGCUGGCGGCGUGCCUAAUACAUGCAAGUCGAGCGAACGGACGAGAAGCUUGCUUCUCUGAUGUUAGCGGCGGACGGGCGAGUAACACGUGGAUAACCUACCUAUAAGACUGGGAUAACUUCGGGAAACCGUAGCUAAUACCGGAUAAUAUUUUGAACCGCAUGGUUCAAAAGUGAAAGACGGUCUUGCUGUCACUUAUAGAUGGAUCCGCGCUGCAUUAGCUAGUUGGUAAGGUAACGGCUUACCAAGGCAACGAUGCAUAGCCGACCUGAGAGGGUGAUCGGCCACACUGGAACUGAGACACGGUCCAGACUCCUACGGGAGGCAGCAGUAGGGAAUCUUCCGCAAAGGGCGAAAGCCUGACGGAGCAACGCCGCGUGAGUGAUGAAGGUCUUCGGAUCGUAAAACUCUGUUAUUAGGGAAGAACAUAUGUGUAAGUAACUGUGCACAUCUUGACGGUACCUAAUCAGAAAGCCACGGCUAACUACGUG